CUAAUAAUCAAGUCAAGUCAAGUCAAGUCAGCUUUAUUGUCAGAUGUGCUAUACAUGCAUGACAUACAGCACAAAUGAAAUUUCAGUCCUCUUGGACCCACGGUGCAAAAUGCAAUAAAAAAAAAUAUAAAAUAGAAAU